UACGUAGGUGGCGAGCGUUAUCCGGAAUACUGGGCGUAAAGCGCACGCAGGCGGUCUUUUAAGUUUGACGUGAAAGCUCCCGGCUUAACUGGGAGAGGUCGUUGAAGACUGGAAGACUUGAGGCAAUGAGAGGGGUGUAGAAUUCCCGGUGUAGUGGUGGAAUGCGUAGAUAUCAGGAGGAACACCAGUGGCGAAGGCGCCGCUCUGGGCCGUGACUGACGCUGAGGAGCGAAAGCGUGGGUAGCAAACAGG
rnacentral:rRNA from 1 species